rnacentral:rRNA from 1 species
GACGAACGCUGGCGGCGUGCUUAACACAUGCAAGUCGAACGGAAAGGCCCUGCUUUUGUUGGGUGCUCGAGUGGCGAACGGGUGAGUAACACGUGAGUAACCUGCCCUUGACUUUGGGAUAACUUCAGGAAACUGGGGCUAAUACCGGAUAGGAGCUCCUGCUGCAUGGUGUUGGUUGGAAAGUUUCGGCGGUUGGGGAUGUACUCGCUGCUUAUCAGCUUGUUGGUGGGGUAGUGGCUUACCAAGGCUUUGACGGGUAGCCGGCAUGAGAGGGUGACCGGCCACAUUGGGACUGAGAUACGGCCCAGAAUGCAACGGGAGGCAGCAGUGGGGAAUAGUGAACAAUGGGCGGAAGCAUGAUGCAGAAACGCCGCGUGCGGGAUGACGGCCUUCGGGUUGUAAACAGAUUUAGCAUGUGACGAAGCGUGAGUGACGGUAAUGGGUAAAGAAGCACCGGCUAACUACGUG